AACAGAUCAAAUCUGAAGAUUACUUUGUGGGAUCAGUAUGCAAAAGAUUUUGUUAAAGCAGUUUGGGAGAAAAUGGAAACUCCUGUCAUCUUAAUUCUUGCCGGUUGCAGAGUACAGCUUUGGAACAAUGAACCAAUUAUAACACAUGUAGCAGCUACAAAGUACUAUUUCAAUUACAAUCAUCACAGUGUGAAGCAACUUAGGAUGAUGCUUUCUGAACCUGAAUUUGCAAAAGCAGUCCGAUCCACAAACCCAACAAGGAUAGCAGAA